UGCGCAGGCGGCCCUGUAAGACCGGUGUGAAAUCCCCGGGCUCAACCUGGGAAUUGCGCUGGUGACUGCAGGGCUAGAGUACGGUAGAGGGGGGUGGAAUUCCUGGUGUAGCAGUGAAAUGCGUAGAGAUCAGGAGGAACACCGAUGGCGAAGGCACGCCCCCUGGGCCUGUACUGACGCUCAUGCACGAAAGCGUGGGAGCAAACA
rnacentral:rRNA from 1 species